GUCCAGGGGCGGGAAUCGAACCCACGACCUUCCGCUUACCGCGCAGAUGCCAUGUCCACUAGGCUACCCUGGA
rnacentral:tRNA from 1 species